rnacentral:rRNA from 1 species
CUACGGGAGGCAGCAGUCGAGAAUCUUCGGCAAUGGGGGAAACCCUGACCGAGCGACGCCGCGUGCGGGAUGACGGCCUUCGGGUUGUAAACCGCUGUCGGGGGGGACGAAGCUCUGACGGUACCCCCAAAGGAAGCACCGGCUAACUCUGUGCCAGCAGCCGCGGUAAUACAGAGGGUGCGAGCGUUGUCCAGAAUUACUGGGCGUAAAGGGCGCGUAGGCGGCUCGGUAAGUAGGGGGUGAAAUUCCACGGCUCAACCGUGGAACGGCCUUCUAGACUGCCGGACUUGAGCAUGGUAGAGGCAGAUGGAACUCCCGGUGUAGCGGUGGAAUGCGUAGAGAUCGGGAAGAACACCAGUGGCGAAGGCGGUCUGCUGGGCCAUAGCUGACGCUGAGGCGCGAUAGCGUGGGGAGCAAACAGGAUUAGAAACCCCAGUAGUCC